UCGAACGGUAACGCGGGGCAACCUGGCGACGAGUGGCGAACGGGUGAGUAAUGCAUCGGAACGUGCCCAGUAGUGGGGGAUAGCCCGGCGAAAGCCGGAUUAAUACCGCAUACGACCUACGGGUGAAAGCGGGGGACCGCAAGGCCUCGCGCUAUUGGAGCGGCCGAUGUCAGAUUAGGUAGUUGGUGGGGUAAAGGCCUACCAAGCCUACGAUCUGUAGCUGGUCUGAGAGGACGACCAGCCACACUGGGACUGAGACACGGCCCAGACUCCUACGGGAGGCAGCAGUGGGGAAUUUUGGACAAUGGGGGCAACCCUGAUCCAGCCAUGCCGCGUGCGGGAAGAAGGCCUUCGGGUUGUAAACCGCUUUUGUCAGGGAAGAAAUCUUCUGGGCUAAUACCUCGGGGGGAUGACGGUACCUGGAGAAUAAGCACCGGCUAACUACGUGCCAGCAGCCGCGGUAAUACGUAGGGUGCAAGCGUUAAUCGGAAUUACUGGGCGUAAAGCGUGCGCAGGCGGUUGUGCAAGACAGGUGUGAAAUCCCCGGGCUUAACCUGGGAACCGCAUUUGUGACUGCACGGCUGGAGUGCGGCAGAGGGGGAUGGAAUUCCGCGUGUAGCAGUGAAAUGCGUAGAUAUGCGGAGGAACACCGAUGGCGAAGGCAAUCCCCUGGGCCUGCACUGACGCUCAUGCACGAAAGCGUGGGGAGCAAACAGGAUUAGAUAC
rnacentral:rRNA from 1 species